AGUGGAAGCGUCUGGAAAGGCGCGCGAUACAGGGUGACAGCCCCGUACACAAAAGCGCAUGUGCUGUGAGCUCGAUGAGUAGGGCGGGACACGUGGUAUCCUGUCUGAAUAUGGGGGGACCAUCCUCCAAGGCUAAAUACUCCUGACUGACCGAUAGUGAACCAGUACCGUGAGGGAAAGGCGAAAAGAACCCCGGCGAGGGGAGUGAAAAAGAACCUGAAACCGUGUACGUACAAGCAGUGGGAGCACAGGUUUACCUGUGUGACUGCGUACCUUUUGUAUAAUGGGUCAGCGACUUAUAUUCUGUAGCAAGGUUAACUGUAUAGGGGAGCCGGA
rnacentral:rRNA from 1 species